rnacentral:lncRNA from 1 species
AGGGCCAAGUCCAAGAACCAUACCACACACAACCAGUCCCGAAAAUGGCACAGAAAUGCUAUCAAGAAACCCCGAUCACAAAGAUACAAAUCUCUUAAGUGGAUGGACCCCAGGUUCCUGAGGAACAUGCACUUUGCCAAGAAGCACAAGAAGGGCCUCAAGAAGAUGCAGGCCAACAAUGCCAAGGCCAUGAGUGCACGUGCCGAGGCUAUCAAGGCCCUCGUAAAGCCCAAGGAGGUUAAGCCCAAGAUCCCAAAGGGUGUCAGCCACAAGCUCGAUCGACUUGCCUACAUUGCCCACCCCAAGCUUGGGAAGUGUGCUCGUGCCCGCACUGCCAAGGGACUCAGGCUGUGCCGGCUAAAGGCCAAGGCCAAGGAUCAAAUCAGCGCCCAGACUGCAGCUCCAGCUUCAGUUCCAGCUCAAGCUCCCAAAGGUGCCCAGGCCCCUACAAAGGCUUCAGAGUAG